AACAAGGCAGCAGAGGUGCUCAAAGU
rnacentral:piRNA from 1 species